AAUAUAUCGACACCGAAGGAACGACACCGCCACAGAGGACGUAAUCAACGUAGAACGGCAUCCGGCCCAAAGAUAUAGUGCGACUUAUGGAGUGACGAGCGUGCAGACGAGGAAGAGGAGCAGGCCCAGCAAGACCCGACAUAAGAUGCAUGGGACGAGGAUGAGGUCGAAGACAACACUCACGGUCGCAGGAGGUCGAGAGAGAGAGAGA
rnacentral:lncRNA from 1 species